AGUCGCGCGUAACAUCCAAGAAGAAAAUCCACGUCUCUGCCAAAUACCUAACGUCAAGAAAGCAACCACAUUUUUCCCUUGAUUCUGGCAACCAUCCCAGUUUUCACCGGAAUACAUCAGACGCGCAAAACCAAUAUGAGAAACGUCUUGAAUUUCCUCGCAGAUCGUGUAACAUGUAAAAUUAUUUACUUUUCUUUAAAUAUUUCGAUCGAAUCGUUUGAAGGUCAGAUGCUGGAGGAAAGAGAAAAAAUAUAUCGCGUGCGUGAAACAGCAUCUCGCUGAAAAAUUACGGCAAAGAUAUUACGGGUCAUCUCUUAUAUUUCGCAAAGUCAAUAACGCAGUUACGUAAUCAGAUAAAGAGCACAAUUGGAAAUUAUGUAACUAAUCUUAUGAUGCGAACCUGCUAGUAAAUGCCUGAAGCGUGCGAUUUCAUUAAUUACGUUCAAUGUACUCAAGUAUCCUCCGCAAUUAUUUUUUUUUUUUUUUUUGAUUUGGAAAAACAUAUUUCUGUAAAUAAUCGGAGAAUUGAUCAAAAUUGUGUAAUUUUUUAAGCUAAUAAUUAUUCAUCAACGUCUCCGAUAGUCUUUACAUAAUCGUGUUUAAAAUGGAUAUAGCAAAAACGGAAGUGACAAUAUUUUAAACUUAAUUCGAAACGCAGAUGACAGAGCAGAAAACGGUCCGCAUUAUUCGAUCAAUGGAUCACGCCUAUUACAUCAUGAGAAUCAGUACACGUGGAUCCCUGGCAGAGCAGAUUAUACGUUUACGCAACGAAAACGAGGUGGAACACAUAUCCUAGCAUUUUUUUUUUUUUAGCAUUUCAAAUCACCGUCUACAACGGUAAUGUCGCGUAUCGUGAUCAAUGUAGAAACUUAUUAAAGAAAGAAGAUACGUUAUUCACAGUCAAUGGAUCAUCUUGAAGCAAAUAUGACGGCGAAAAGUAAUAGAGAGGGAAAGAUGUACAUAGUUGAACAUGAACAUAACCAUGUUUUAUUUGUAACCCCCAUAUGAAAAAUACGUAUGUAAGUAGAAGCGUGAAAGGUAAGGCGCGUAACGAGUACACUCGCACGUGACGAUGCUUCAAGUUUGCGUACAACUGCACUUGUAACGCGAUUAAUAGGACCGAUCGAAUUCACUUAUGAUCUUUAGUUAUUCGCACACCGGUUUCGUCGUAUCCGUGCGUGUGUAACGCUUUGGGUUACAUAAGAUAACGCGACACAUACACCUACAGCCAGUCACAAAAGUCCGCAUACACCUCUUAAAUUUAAGAGCAAUAUCUUUUAGCAUUAAAUCUUAUAUUAAACGUAUGACACAUAUUUAAAAAAUAAAAUAAAGAAUAGAAGAUGCAAUGCCUCACAAGAAUGCGUACACUUAUACUUACAUGAAAUUAUAGAGAAAAGUAGACUUUGUAAUGUAUUAAUACUCCGUAAAGUCUUCCUGGUAUUGAUAAAGUUAAAUAUUUCGCAAUUUCUGAUAUAAUUCUAUGUUAAAAUUUUUGUGAGCUAAAUAUUUACAUUCUUUUAAUUCCUUCUGGAAAUACGUUAAUGUAUUAUGGAAACACACGAAACUCGUAAAGCGUAUGUAAACUUCUAUGACUGAUUUGAAUUUCUUUCGCAGAAGAGAAGAGAAACUUCAACUCAAAUGUGAUCGAAUAAAAUGUGAUUUUACCGAAAACAAUAGUAAAAAAAAAGAAUGAAGGAAGAAGAAAGAAAAGAUAAGGAACGUAGAAACAUUGUUUAUUAUUUGGAUACAAAACUAUAAUAUGAAGAAUCUCUAUUUUGCGUUUUCAAGAGAGUGAAAAAGGAGAAAGAAAUAAAACACAAUGAGUGAUUAUAGUAACAAAUAGAUUUACGCGAUACGAUAUGUCACAAGAAUUGAAAACGUUGCUAAAAUAUUACAAUCGUGUACGACACGCAUCCUAUUCUCUCACCUAACUCUGAAUUCUCUUUCGUCAAUCGUAUGAAUUUAAAUCUAUUAAAAUCAAGAUUUCAAUCUUGGACAGUUUUUCAAAUCUAAAAUAAUUCGAAGUUUUCUUAUCAUGAUUCAAUCAAAACGAUUUGCCAGCUCUUUCAACAUUAUAUAUGUACUAUAUAUUUCCCAUUUCUCCGUAUCUUUCUUGAAGAUAUCGUUUCUCUUAUAGCAAUGCCAUGGAUAUGAGAUUCAAUAGAUUAUAGAGAUUCACAAUUUAACGUAAAAUUACUGAAAAAUUUGCACAUUCAUGAUUUUGAUACGAGGACGAUACAAUUUUCAAGUUCAUUGACUCAAUUAACCCUGCUGAGUUCUUUCGAUCAUUUUUUAUCCAGUGGUAUUUUUUGACGUUA